CUCUUCUUGAUUUUAUUUUUGAAGUAUGACCUGCCCACUGAUUAUUUGAAGGGCCGCGGUAUUUUGACCGUGCAAAGGUAGCAUAAUCAUUAGUUCUUUAAUUGUGGACUGGUAUGAAUGGUUUGACGAGGUACUAACUGUCUUUAUUAGGAUUUGUAGUUGAAUUUGGGUUUUGGGUAAAAAUACCUAAAUGUUUUUAUGGGACGAGAAGACCCUAUAGAGUUUUAUAUAAUUUUGGUUUGAUGUUGUUUGUUUAUUGAUUUGUUUACCUUAUUGUAUUUUGUUGGGGUGAUGGGAGGAUACUUUCAACUCUUCCUUAUUUUUUAUACUUGUUUGUAUAUCUUUGAUCCUGUAUUAUUGAUUUUAAGAUUAAAUUACC
rnacentral:rRNA from 1 species